rnacentral:rRNA from 1 species
UACGUAGGGUGCGAGCGUUAAUCAGAAUUACUGGGCGGAAAGCGUGCGCAGGCGGUUUUGUAAGCCAGAUGUGAAAUCCCCGGGCUUAACCUGGGAAUGGCAUUUGGGACUGCAAGGCUCGAGUGCGGCAGAGGAGUCUGGAAUUCCUGGUGUAGCAGUGAAAUGCGUAGAUAUCAGGAGGAACACCGAUGGCGAAAGCGCUCAUCUGGCCCAAUACUGACGCUGAAGCACGAAAGCUAGGGGAGCAAACGGG